UACAGAGGUCUCAAGCGUUGUUCGGAUUCAUUGGGCGUAAAGGGUGCGUAGGCGGUCUGUCGCGUCGGCUGUGAAAACCCGAGGCUCAACCUCGGGCCUGCAGUCGAUACGGGCAAACUAGAGUACUGCAGGGGAGACUGGAAUUCCUGGUGUAGCGGUGAAAUGCGCAGAUAUCAGGAGGAACACCGGUGGCGAAGGCGGGUCUCUGGGCAGUAACUGACGCUGAGGAGCGAAAGCGUGGGGAGCGAACAGG
rnacentral:rRNA from 1 species